GUCAGUGGGCAGAUGCUGUAUUUUGCACCUGAUCUAAUACUAAAUGAACAGCGGAUGAAAGAAUCAUCAUUCUAUUCAUUAUGCCUUACCAUGUGGCAGAUCCCACAGGAGUUUGUCAAGCUUCAAGUUAGCCAAGAAGAGUUCCUCUGUAUGAAAGUAUUGUUACUUCUUAAUACAAUUCCUUUGGAAGGGCUACGAAGUCAAACCCAGUUUGAGGAGAUGAGGUCAAGCUACAUUAGAGAGCUCAUCAAGGCAAUUGGUUUGAGGCAAAAAGGAGUUGUGUCGAGCUCACAGCGUUUCUAUCAACUUACAAAACUUCUUGAUAACUUGCAUGAUGUAAGUAUUUGGUUGAUUCCAGAAUAUCAAUGAUUAUUCUCUGAAUUUCUAUAACUUUUUAAAUGUUACAUGUAAAUUUUACUUUGUAUGAUUUUCUCAGAUUAAUACUUGUAUGUUAAAAGUGUUUGGAUCAUGCUGCUCAGACUUUUUAUUGUGUUUUUUUUUCAUUUUCAAUAUAGACCACUCAAAUAUUCUUUUACAAGUAUUUGUAUAAUGUGAGGGUAAUUUAAUAGCUGAUAGAAAUUAUGGUACAUUUCCUGAAUAUGUUCUAAAAUAUUUGUGCC
rnacentral:lncRNA from 1 species